rnacentral:rRNA from 1 species
AGAAUGAUGGCCUCUGCUUGCAAGCUAUCGCUCGAGGAUGGGGCCCGCGGCCCCAUUAGCUAGUUGGUGAGGUAACGGCUCACCAAGGCAAUGAUGGGUAGCUGGUCUGAGAGGAUGAUCAGCCACACUGGGACUGAGACACGGCCCAGACUCCUACGGGAGGCAGCAGUGGGGAAUUUUUUUGGGCAAUGGGCGAAAGCCUGACCCAGCAACGCCGCGUGCAGGAUGAAGGCCCUCGGGUCGUAAACUGCUGUCGGGAGGGAAGAAAAGCCGCGGUGAGAACAUUGCCGCAGCCUGACGGUACCUCCAAAGGAAGCGCCGGCUAACUCCGUGCCAGCAGCCGCGGUAA